GCUCAGGGGAUGCCCUCAGUAGCGGCGAGUGAAGCGGCAAGAGCUCAGAUUUGAAAUCGUGCUUUGCGGCACGAGUUGUAGAUUGCAGGUUGGAGUCUGUGUGGAAGGCGGUGUCCAAGUCCCUUGGAACAGGGCGCCCAGGAGGGUGAGAGCCCCGUGGGAUGCCGGCGGAAGCAGUGAGGCCCUUCUGACGAGUCGAGUUGUUUGGGAAUA
rnacentral:rRNA from 1 species